UUGUUUUUCAGGAAAACAUUUUCUAGAAAAAUAUUUUCCUUCAUACCAAACACACCCUGAGAGAAAAAAGAGGAACAUGUGGAAGAAGGUACAAUUUGUCAACAGUUUCUGAGAUAUCAGCUUGGUGGUUGGUGAUUUUGAAGCAAUCAGUUCUGACAUAUAUAUAAUAAUUGAAAGUCAUUCUGAUCAAUUUAAUAGAAUAAGCGAAUUAAAUGCAGCAUACUUAUGUUUGCAAUGUCCAUUACUUUUUUCAUUUGGUGAAGAUGGAUAUAGAGAAGAUAUUCCUUUAAGUGGAAUUGAUUAAUCAUCUAAUGGAAGGAAAUAUGUUAGCGUUCUUGAAUACUUUUUCAUACAAAAUUCAAGAAAAGGAAGAAUGAAAUCCCUACAUUCGUAUCGGUUAAUAGAUUAUUUCAACAAUUCUUGAUAGAUAGAUAUACAAUGAUAGAAUCUUCUUGAUCGUUAUUUUAUAGGCUCCAUCAACCACACUUGAGAGCAGAAUUCUAUAAGAGAUUACAAGUUGUUUUGCAGGGAGACACUCCACCUUCUUCUCAAGGACAAAGAGUAAUAUCUUCUUCUUUCACUGGAGGUACACGUUACAUGUUGCAAAAAUAUCAAGAUGCAAUGACAAUAUGCAAAUGGGCUGGAUAUCCUGAUCUAUUUAUUAUAUUUACUUGCAAUUCUAAAUAGCAUGAGAUCACUAGAUUUGUGAAAAUUAGGGGAUUGGCUCCAGAAGAUCGGCCAAACAUUGUAACGAGGGUCUUUAAAGUCAAUUAGAUCACCUAAUUAAGGAUUUGCAAGACAAAAAAGUUUUUGGACAAGUAAAAGCAGGAAAACUUUAUACUUGGAAGACUCUAUCAGCUGCCAUAAGGUCUAUUUUAACAGCUGCAUCUAGCGAGAUUGCAUAACUUCUAUUACGGUAUUACCAGAUGGACGAACAACAUAUUCAAGAUUUGUUAUCUCGUUAAAUAUAAUUGAAGACUCAACAUGCAAUUUAAAACAAGUUAUUCCUUUAGCACAUUUGCAAAUCAAGACUAAGUUGAUUAUCUGGGAUGAGGCUCCUAUGAUGCAUCGACAUUAUUUUGAAGUUCUUGAUAAGGCUUUAAGAGAUAUUAUUGGCUACAAAGAUGAAUCCAACUCAGAAUUACCAUUUGGUGGUAAAACAAUUGUUAUUGAAGGUGACUACAGAAAAAUUCUUCCUGUGAUCCCUAAAGGGAGUCGACAAGAUAUUGUAAAUGCAACUCAACUCUUCAUAUUUAUGGCUCCAUUGUGAAUUAUUAACACUGACAAAGAAUAUGAGAUUGCAAAACAGUGACACUGCUUCUGAUCUAAAAGAGUUGAAAGAGUUUAUGAUUGGAUAUUGACAGUUGCGGAUGGUAGUAUUGGUAAUUCAUUUGAUGAAAUUGAUACAGUUUUAAUAGCAAAGGAUCUUCUAAUAACUGAGUGUACUGAUCCAACAGCAGCUAUUGUGGAAAGUAUGUAUCCAGAUUUUAGUACUAAUUGUAAUGAUGUUGGGUACCUACAGCAAAGAGUCAUUCUUGCUCUGACUCUUGAUAUGGUAGAAUCAAUCAAUCAAUCAUUAUAUGAUCUCUUUGAAUCAUAAUCCUGAGAAAUCAUAUUUGAGUUCUGACAAAAUAUGCAAGUCUGUCAUACUUAUUCAGCUUUAGAACAUGUACAUACCCCAGAAUUUUUUAACACUAUUAAAUGUUCUGGAGUUUCAAAUUA